UACGAAGGGGGCGAGCGUUGUUCGGAUUUACUGGGCGUAAAGGGCGCGCAGGCGGCUUUGUUUGUCAGGCGUGAAAGCCCCGGGCUUAACCUGGGAACUGCGCUUGAGACGGCGAGGCUAGAGAUCGGGAGAGGAGAGUGGAAUUCCCAGUGUAGAGGUGAAAUUCGUAGAUAUCGGGAGGAACACCAGUGGCGAAGGCGGCGAUCUGGACGGAUAUUGACGCUGAGGUGCGAAAGCGUGGGGAGCAAACAGG
rnacentral:rRNA from 1 species